rnacentral:rRNA from 1 species
CCUACGGGGGGCAGCAGUGAGGAAUAUUGGUCAAUGGUCGGGAGACUGAACCAGCCAAGCCGCGUGAGGGAUGAAGGUACAGAGUAUCGUAAACCUCUUUUGUCAGGGAACAAAGGCGGGGACGUGUCCCCGGAUGAGUGUACCUGAAGAAAAAGCAUCGGCUAACUCCGUGCCAGCAGCCGCGGUAAUACGGAGGAUGCGAGCGUUAGCCGGAUUUAUUGGGUUAAAAGGGUGCGCAGGCGGUCUGUUAAGUCAGCGGUAAAAGCCCGGGGCUCAACCCCGGCCCGCCGUUGAAACUGGCAGUCUCGAGUUGGAGAGAAGUAUGCGGAAUGCGCGGUGUAGCGGUGAAAUGCAUAGAUAUCGCGCAGAACUCCGAUUGCGAAGGCAGCAUGCCGGCUCCACACUGACGCUGAGGCACGAAAGCGUGGGUAUCGAACAGGAUUAGAUACCCGUGUAGUC